rnacentral:rRNA from 1 species
UACAGAGGUCCCAAGCGUUGUUCGGAUUCACUGGGCGUAAAGGGUGCGUAGGUGGCUUGGUAAGUUUGAUGUGAAAUCUCCGGGCUUAACCCGGAAAUGGCAUUGAAUACUAUUGAGCUGGAGGUUUGGAGGGGGGGGACUGGAAUUCUCGGUGUAGCAGUGAAAUGCGUAGAUAUCGAGAGGAACACCAGUGGCGAAGGCGAGUCCCUGGACAACACCGUGACACUGAGGCACGAAAGCUAGGGGAGCAAACAGG